GAGAUCAGUGUUGGCGACCGGGGAAGAAUAAAUUCAUUUUGUAAGUCCCGCCGAACCCUAAAAAGUAGCCGUUUUCUGAUUGGUUAAAUCCGUUCUGUCGUCUCGCGUGUGAUUGGACGAACAUGGGUUGCUGAAG